UACUUAGUCUGGAGCCCAUGCCUAUGUGUA
rnacentral:piRNA from 1 species